GCCUUCGUCGUGUAAUGGUCAGCACACUGAGCCGGUAUUUCAGAGGUCCGUGGUUCGAUCCCCGGCGAAGGCA
rfam:Stegodyphus mimosarum contig117646, whole genome shotgun sequence.